UGCCAGACUCCUACGGGAGGCAGCAGUGGGGAAUAUUGCACAAUGGGGGGAACCCUGAUGCAGCAAUGCCGCGUGGGUGAAGAAGCACUCCGGUGCGUAAAGCCCUGUCAGCAGGGAAGAAAAUGACAGUACCUGGACAAGAAGCCCCGGCUAACUCCGUGCCAGCAGCCGCGGUAAUACGGAGGAUGCGAGCGUUAUCCGGAUUUAUUGGGUUUAAAGGGUGCGUAGGCGGAAUGCCAAGUCAGCGGUAAAAUCGCGGGGCUCAACCUCGCUCCGCCGUUGAAACUGGCGUUCUUGAGUGGGCGAGAAGUAUGCGGAAUGCGUGGUGUAGCGGUGAAAUGCAUAGAUAUCACGCAGAACUCCGAUUGCGAAGGCAGCAUACCGGCGCCCAACUGACGCUGAAGCACGAAAGCGUGGGUAUCGAACAGGAUUAGAUACCCUUGUAGA
rnacentral:rRNA from 1 species